rnacentral:rRNA from 1 species
UGACCGAUAGUGAACCAGUACCGUGAGGGAAAGGCGAAAAGAACCCCGGCGAGGGGAGUGAAAAAGAACCUGAAACCGUGUACGUACAAGCAGUGGGAGCACGCUUAGGCGUGUGACUGCGUACCUUUUGUAUAAUGGGUCAGCGACUUAUAUUCUGUAGCAAGGUUAACCGAAUAGGGGAGCCGAAGGGAAACCGAGUCUUAACUGGGCGU